rnacentral:rRNA from 1 species
AUGCCGAACUGCUUCAUCGUUCUGGGGCUGCAGAUGAAGUCGAGCGGCGGCUUGUAGACGUUGUCCUGUAGGAUCGAGAUCUGCCCCUCCUUGACAAGGAUGUCUUCUUCGAGGGACUCGAUCUUCUUCUUUAGAGACGCGACCUCGUUCUGCAUCAUGCUGGUGGUUUUGCGGAGCUGCUUCGCUUCCUGCCACGAGAGGUCCCUUUCAUCGGUCACGAUUUUCAGCUCUCCUCUGAGCGCGCUUAGCUCCUUGGCAGAUUCUUGGAAAUCCUGCUGGAUCUGGUCGAUGGACUCGUCUUUCUUCGAACCCUGUUAA